GACGAACGCUGGCGGCGUGCCUAAUACAUGCAAGUUGAGCGCUGAAGGUUGGUACUUGUACCAACUGGAUGAGCAGCGAACGGGUGAGUAACGCGUGGGGAAUCUGCCUUUGAGCGGGGGACAACAUUUGGAAACGAAUGCUAAUACCGCAUAAAAACUUUAAACACAAGUUUUAAGUUUGAAAGAUGCAAUUGCAUCACUCAAAGAUGAUCCCGCGUUGUAUUAGCUAGUUGGUGAGGUAAAGGCUCACCAAGGCGAUGAUACAUAGCCGACCUGAGAGGGUGAAUGGCCACAAUGGGACUGGAGCACGGCCCAAAAUCCUACGGGGAGGAGCAGGAGGGGAUCUUCGGGCAAGGAGGGAAGGCUGACCGGAGAACGCCGGGGGGGGGGAUGAGGGUUUCGGAUCGGAAAACUCUGUUGGUAGGGAAGAAAGUUGGUUGGAGUGGAAAGCUCACCAAGUGACGGUAACUACCCAGAAAGGGACGGCUAACUACGUG
rnacentral:rRNA from 1 species